UGGGGAAUAUUGCACAAUGGGCGCAAGCCUGAUGCAGCCAUGCCGCGUGUGUGAAGAAGGCCUUCGGGUUGUAAAGCACUUUCAGCGAGGAGGAAGGGUAGUGUGUUAAUAGCACAUUGCAUUGACGUUACUCGCAGAAGAAGCACCGGCUAACUCCGUGCCAGCAGCCGCGGUAAUACGGAGGGUGCAAGCGUUAAUCGGAAUUACUGGGCGUAAAGCGCACGCAGGCGGUUUGUUAAGUCAGAUGUGAAAUCCCCGCGCUUAACGUGGGAACUGCAUUUGAAACU
rnacentral:rRNA from 1 species